UACCAGCACCCCGAGUGGCCGGGACGAUUAUUGGGCCUAAAGCAUCCGUAGCCGGUCCUGCAAGUCUUCCGUUAAAUCCAGCUGCUCAACAGAUGGGCUGCGGGGGAUACUACAUGGCUAGGAGGCGGGAGAGGCAAGCGGUACUUUAUGGGUAGGGGUAAAAUCCGUUGAGUCCAUAGAAGACCACCAGGAUGGCGAAGGCGGCU
rnacentral:rRNA from 1 species